AAAGAUGGAUAUGCAAUCGCUUUAUGCUAUAGCAUGCUAUAGACUUAAAGAGGAAAGUCCGAACUUUAACUAUGAAUAAUAGUAAACGGUAGCAGGUAAUCCCUGUCGCUUGUGAAAGUAGAGGUGCGAACAGAGACGCUUUUUACAGAAAUGUAGAAAGUAUCCUUAUAAUUAGGAUAAGCUUUUGCAGUAAUGCAAAAGGUGAAACGGCUAAAUCCUUACCGGAAAGCAAGGCUGAAGGUUGGCCGCUUGAUCGUUAAAAGCGAUUUUAACGACAGAGAAAUGAUUGCACUUUUAAUUUAUUAAAAGACAGAAUUCGGUGUACAAUCCAUCUUUAUGG
rnacentral:RNase_P_RNA from 1 species